rnacentral:lncRNA from 10 species
CCCGCCCAUCUGUUCCGACCCCAGAUUAGAGAAGGAGUUGUCACCGGUGGCAUGCUGGAGGCUUGAGCCUGCAGCAGCAUGGCUCGCCUCACUGUGGCUGGUGGCAGUGAGGUAGAGUACAGCACAGCCAAAGUGGUAGAAAGGUGGCAGAGUAGGCUUUUCUGGCUUUGCCCAUCCAGUUGCUCCGUGCCAGGAGAAGGAGUAGCCACCUGCACAUGCUGGAGGCUGGAGCCAGGGACACCACGGCUUGCCUCGCUGUGGUUGGCGUGGUGGCAGCGAUGGAGACUGCAGAGUGCCAGAGAGCCAUGGUUUUCUGCUCAAUGCUGCUAAUGACCCUCCAGGAAGAUCGCCUGGCACCAACCACAUUCUUGUAGGCCACAGAGAGGAGAUUUCGAUCUUCAUUGGAGAGAGGUUCAUUCAGCUCUGUCACCUGCAAAACCCCAAAAAGAUAAACAUUGAAAGCAAAAUCUGAAAAUCUUGGUAAGAAGCCUUCCCUUCAACAUAAUCAACAAUCCUUCUCAAGAACGGAAUUACGAACAGGUCAGUCACUCUGGAGAAUAAAAACCACCCAUGGAUAAAACCAAUAUAGACAUGAACCCUAUGUGAAGAAAGACUAUAGUCUAACAGAAGAGAUAAAUACUUGGCACCCAAAACAGAAAAUCAUAGGGGCUUGAGAAAUUCAUAAUUCGGGUCUGAUAAGAUGUUGCUUUCACCUUGGUAGAGGAAUGGGACUAAGGAUAAUUAUGAAAAGGUUGUACAGCAGCAGUACAUAAUGGUGAAGAAGAAAACCUCGAGCUUCAGCCAUUCUGCAAAAGAUACUCUGAACAGGCCGGGCGCGAUGGCUUAUGCCUGUAAUCCCAGCACUUCAGGAGGCCAAGGGCGGGCAGAUCAUGAGGUCAAGAGAUCGAGACCAUUCUGGCCAACAUGGUGAAACCCCAUCUCUACUAAAAAUACAAAAAUUAGCUGGGCGUGGUGGCACGCGCUUGUAGUCCCAGCUACUUGGGAGGCUGAGGCAAGAGAAACUCUUGAACCCGGAGGUUGCAGUGAGCCCAGAUCGUGCCACUGCACUCCAGCCUAGCUAGCGACAGAGCAAGCCUCCGUCUCAAAAGAAAAAAAAAAAAAAAAAAAAGAUACUCUGAACAGUAAGAUCGUACGGUCCCUUUGUCAAAUGUUCAAAGACAACAGACUGGAAGUGUUCCAGACUCUGCUUCCAGCUUUAUACUCUGGAAAGAACCAACCACUCCUCAAAUACACAUUAACAGAUGGUGGGGCUUCACAGAUCAGAUGGAACAUCACACAGAUCCAGUGGCCAGAGCUUCGCCCUGUGUGGCUACACAUGGAACCCUAACUGAUACUCCCAGCCCUCUCCCAAACCAAAAUGAAGAACAAUUCAUAAGUGACAUGAAAGUACCCCCAGCUCCUAGUGAAAGGAAGCACAGCUACUCAGCAGGAAGUUGUACUCUGACCUACCUCACAGGAAACUCUGGUCAUCAAGGAUGGAAGCAUCAAUUAUUUUAAGUGGAAGAGUUAAAUUUCACAAGCUUUAACUUCCCUUAGUUCUCCAUGAUGCCAACUACAAGUGAACUAGCUAUGCAGUUAGUAGGAAGAGCAUUAUUAGACUUUGCAGUGGUUGAACUGUAUCCCCCGCCAAAAGAUACGCUGAAGUUCUGACCCUAGGUUCCUGUGAAUGUGAGCUUAUUUGGAAAUAGGGUCUUUGCAGAUGUAAUUAGUUAAGAUGAAGUCAUACUGGACAUUAGGGUGUGCCCUAAGUGCAAUUACAGGUGUCCUUAUAAGGAUAGUGAGAUUUUGACACACACACAGGAAGAAUGCCAUGUGACAGUGGAGGCAAAGACUGGAGUGACGCAUCUACAAGCCAAGGAACACCAAGGGUUGCCAGAAGCCACCAGAAGCUGGGAGAGUGCCUAGGAAGGAUUCUUCCCUAGAGCCUUCAGAGGGAGCGUGGCCUGCCUACACCUCACUUUCAAACUUCUAGCGUCCAGAACUAUGAGAGAAUACAUUUAUUAUUUUAAACUAUCCAGUUUGUCGUACUAGGUUCAGCACCCCCUAGGAAACUAACAGAGUUUCCUAACAAGAGUUCCUAACAGAGUUGCUAACAGAGUUGGUCUGGGCCCAAGCAAAGAAAAUGACUUCCUAAAUUGACCCAGGACAUUUCACAAGCCCUUAAAAGAUGGUGUGUCGUCUAAAGUAGAGGGAUUCCUUAAUAUGACCUACUGGUAAAGGUCUUUAAUUUUAUUAAAUCAGUCUCUGCUUAUCCAAAAGGUCUUUAAUUUCAAUAAUGAAAAAAAAGAAAGCAAAGCACUUAGGAAACCAUAAAACACUAAACAAAAAAGGUAUUACUUAAACCAAUCUGUAAGGACAGAACCUCCAGAGGGAAAAGGCCAAGUUCAUUGGGGAAAGUUAUCAAUAGCAUAUUCAAAUAGACACACUUAAAAUGGAUUGAGAAGACUGAGCAGUGGAGUAUCAGAAAUCAUGAACAAUGAUGGUUUAUUUGGGGAAUUAGUGGUUCAAGGACAUAAGCAGCAAGUGUAAUCAUUAUUACAGGUAAAAAUCAGAAAACGUGCCAAGUUCUCACAAAGUAAAACAAGCAAUUGUCUGAGUCCUCCCUACCCCCAAGCCCCAGACAAAAUAAAAAUACCAGCUCACUCUUAAUUUCUCCAUUUCCCUGUCCCCAGGACCCCUACUCUUCUGCUACAAACCCUUAACACAGGCAAAGUCUCUCCUUUGCCUACCCACUUCUUUCUUCAGUGUGGUCUUUGGCUAACAGCUAUCCUGACCAUUCCCCAGGGGUGCUGCCUCCACUCUGGUCAAGCCAGGGUUCUCAUUAUUCAUCCUCACAUAUUCAUUAGUAGUCUCCAUACCUCUCACUGUGAUCUGCCCCAGUCUACCAUGAAUCUACAAUCCAUGCUCCCCUUAAAUCCAGCUGAACACCUAUAACCCCACUAGUUUCCUCCUCCAGUAAGUGCCUUUAAACACUUACAUACAUUUUCUUACGGAAAAUAGAGACUUUGUAAAUAUUUAAUAACUUAGUCUUUUUUUGCCCACAUCAGAGGGUCACAUGUCUAUGUUGUAACAAGGUUUGAGGGUGGCACAUCUCACACCUGCAUGUCAAAACCCAAUCAUCACACUUAUGAACUACAAAAAGAUGAGUAACUACUUAGUCUUUUAACGAACAACACUUCUGAAUCAAAAUUCCAUCCCAAAUAUUCUGAUAAAUUUCAGAAUGCUUGAAUCCUCUAGAAUGACUUGCGUUUCUAGAGCAAUAUUCAAUAAAACAAAGCAUAAGGCAACAACAGAAUUUGGAGAGCUCCUUUCAUCUUGUAGUAAUUAAACUAAGGCCAUUUGGCAUUAAAAUACAAAUAAUAUCCAUAAGGAGUCACAAUAUACUUCCUCCUGUGACUAACAAAGCUGCUUCUGUGAAACUGGCAAAGAUACACCAAGGUAACUUCCCAGAGUAUAUCAUUUAAAGUGAGUACAAAUCUGAAAUACAUGUAUGUAUAAUACAGAAUGCUUGCAUAACACAAAAGGCGGUAUAAUUAUUAAACCCAAGACAUCUGAAGUUU